rnacentral:rRNA from 1 species
AAUCAACGCUGGCGGCGUGCCUCAGACAUGCAAGUCGAACGAUUAAAGCUCUCUUCGGAGAGUGCAUAAAGUGGCGCACGGGUGAGUAACACGUAAGUAAUCUACCCUCGAGUGGGGAAUAACGUUCGGAAACGGACGCUAAUACCGCAUAAUGCAGCGGCACCGCAAGGUGACAGUUGUUAAAGAUUUAUCGCUUGAGGAGGAGCUUGCGGCAGAUUAGCGAGUUGGUAAGGUAAUGGCUUACCAAGGCUACGAUCUGUAACCGGUCUUAGAGGACGGUCGGGCACACUGACACUGAAUAACGGGUCAGACUCCUACGGGAGGCAGCAGUCGGGAAUUUUGGGCAAUGGGCGAAAGCCUGACCCAGCAACGCCGCGUGAAGGAUGAAUUAUUUCGGUAUGUAAACUUCGAAAGAAUAGGAAGAAUUAAUGACGGUACUAUUUAUAAGGUCCGGCUAACUACGUGCCAGCAGCCGCCGUAA